rnacentral:piRNA from 1 species
UUUUGAUACAGUUCAUGAUUCUUUCUUUCC